rnacentral:rRNA from 1 species
AUUGAACGCUGGCGGCAGGCCUAACACAUGCAAGUCGAACGAGUGGCGGACGGGUGAGUAAUGUCUGGGAAACUGCCUGAUGGAGGGGGAUAACUACUGGAAACGGUAGCUAAUACCGCAUACCAUCGGAUGUGCCCAGAUGGGAUUAGCUAGUAGGUGGGGAAAAGGCUCACCUAGGCGACGAUCCCUAGCUGGUCUGAGAGGAUGACCAGCAACCCUGGAACUGAGACAGGGUCCAGACUCCUAGGGGAGGAAGCAGGGGGGAAUAUGGCACAAUGGGCGAAAGCCUGAGGCAGCCAUGCCGCGUGUAUGAAGAAGGCCUUCGGGUUUGAAAGUACUUUCAGCGGGGAGGCGUUACCCGCAGAAGAAGCACCGGCUAACUCCGUGCCAGCAGCGCGGUAAUUC